rnacentral:rRNA from 1 species
GAGGAAUAUUGGACAAUGGAGGCAACUCUGAUCCAGCCAUGCCGCGUGCAGGAAGACUGCCCUAUGGGUUGUAAACUGCUUUUAUAUAGGAAGAAACCUACUUACGUGUAAGUAGCUGACGGUACUAUAAGAAUAAGGAUCGGCUAACUCCGUGCCAGCAGCCACAAUAAUACAAAAAAUCCAAGCGUUAUCCAAAAUCAUUAAAUUUAAAAAAUCCAUAAAUAAAUAAUUAAGUCAAAAAUAAAAUCUUGCAACUCAACUAUAAAAUUACCUUUGAUACUAGUUAUCUUGAGUUAUUAUGAAGUAAUUAAAAUAUGUAAUGUAGCGGUGAAAUGCAUAGAUAUUACAUA